rnacentral:pre_miRNA from 1 species
GAACUACUCCCUCCGUUCGGAAUUACUUGUCGCAAAAAUGGAUGUAUCUAGAUGUAUUUUAGUUCUAGAUACAUCCAUUUCCGAGACAAGUAAUUCCGAACGGAGGGAGUACGUC